CCCUAUGGGGUGCAGCAGGUUCUCCAGGCCGCAACGGGUCAUGGCCAGGUUCUGGGUCUGGAGGACCUCCUCGUUAUCGUAAAGGACAUACCCCUCGACGAGGUGCUUGUACCGUUCGAGAACUUCAUCGGCUCCGGGCAGAGCCUCACUGGGGAGCGCGAAGGUCCUCUGGUAGUAGUCCAGCCAAUGGUCCUCAUACAGGCGCUGUGGCUGGAUCAGGUCCGAUGGGUCGUUGUGUUGGAUCAGGUACAGAUGCGGUUCCUCACGGUUGACCAGCCCCUGCAAGCUGCGCAGCCAGAUCCAGAAAUCCACGCUGCCACUGCCCUCAGUGGGAGUCACUACCACCAGACGUUUUACCUGGGGAAUUGAGGAGAGGAUAGCGGUGAGGCGCAUGGCGGGGGAGC
rnacentral:rRNA from 1 species